rnacentral:tRNA from 1 species
GGGGCUGUAGCUUAGUGGUAGAGUGCCAACUCGGGGUGCUCCCCCAGAGUUUCUCACCGUUUGAACGUGAAUGUGAACGUCAGCACGAUCAGCAGCAACCUUCUCAACGUCGGGGACAAGAACAGUCAGAGACGUAAUAGUCCGAUAAGAAUCUGAAAGACCUCUGGGGCGCACCCCGAGUGAGAGACGCGGGUUCGAUUCCCGCCAGCUCCA